GCGGAGGUCGGAAGCGCCAGCUCCCCGAACGGAAGCAAAAUUGCCAGGACGUGAGAACCCGCCCCCUUUGCCGGAACUAUCACAUCUUCCAACGGAAAUCUAGUUGCCAAAAGAGGUGGAAAUGCGUCAUUGAAUCCAGCUCACCCAGGGUUGGGAAUGAAGAAGUGAAGACAGUGCUACCCUGAUCAACCGAGGGAAGAAGGAGGGUUCAGGAGGCCAAACCCCGCCCUUGGGGUUCCCCGGAACUCAUGAGGAAGAGCAGGUCUGCUCUUGGGUCUUUCCCAUCAGCCUCUGCCUCCCUGCCCCUCCUCCCUGGCACCCCUCUGGCCCUGUCUCUCUGCGUGGUACACUGGAAGGGCUUUCGGACAUCUAACUCCUAGUUCAGUGUGCGAUCUUGAGACAUUUAUUGCCCCUCUCUGGAACUUAAUAUCUCCAUUUGACAACUUGA